GGCCACCCAAGAUACUGAGUCAAGGGAAAACUGGAGGGAUUUUCAGCGGAAUCUCUUCUCCUAAGAAAGGUGCUUUAUUCGGGUCAUUUGGGGUGAGGAUUCGGGCACAGGAAGACUGAACAGUUUGUAGAAGAAAGCAAGGUUCCCAAAGGCUGCUUCCAAAAUGACAAGCUGAGAAGUGAGGACAGAUCGGUGGCAUGAGCAAAAGACACUAGACAUGACAUAUCAAGGAAAGACAGACGACAGCAUCAAGAGACAUAGGACACACAGCACUAGGAACAGAGAUGGAAACCUGUACAUUAUGAGCGACCCUGCCAAUAUCACAGCCUUGCCCAAGUAAAGACUAAAAUGAAAAGAGUGAACACAGUGAAGCCAUGCACCAAGGAGAGCCCCAGGAAGGUAACACAGCAUCAUGGGUGAUGGCUGACCACAGGUCCCUCAUCCCCUGCAAUGACAUGAGGAGAACUCAAGGCAUCUUGGUAUUAUAUGACCUCCGAGAGGCUGUGAACUAAGGAAGUAUGUCUUGCUCAAGGAGAGAAACUGUGGCUGAAGAGCCAAGGCCAAGUCCACCCUUCCAUGACCCCCCAGAGUACUGGUCCCUGAUUCUUACUCUUCAUAUCCGGCACUGAUUCUCCAGGAUGAUCUGGUAUCACUCUAUUUUAACUCCCGGAUGUGGCAGGGAAAGGAAAAACUUUCUAUCAGGUGUCAGGCCUGGCAGGGAGCAGGAAAACUCUUCCAGCUCCUGAGAUGCUGAGAAACUCCAUACUUUAGGAUCCAGAGCUGAGUCAACAUUCUACACAGUUUGUUCACAGACUUGGAUUUUUCCAAGGUGGUGCAUCUUGCAUAUGAUCAGGCAACUUUAGUUCAAGGAAGCAGCCUGUCAGAAAGGAUGUUGAAGUAGGAGGCUAGAGUCUUCACAUUUUAAGAGAAAAAAGGAGACCAUUUGGAGGCCAAACAAUUAUAAAAGGAGGUUUCAUGCAACAGAUGAUAGCAAACUCUAUAGUUUUUUUGGGAAAAGGGAGAAUGCUCCAAGGAGAAUGCUCUUCACCUUUGUGGUGGGCAUUGUGAAGUUAAGCAUACACUUCUCCAUAGGAAAAGAGACAGCAUCUCCCUCUCCCUGUAUGUCAACCAGUUGUCCCAGCAACAAUAGAUUCUGGA
rnacentral:lncRNA from 1 species